rnacentral:rRNA from 1 species
AUUUCGGCUAUUGGAGCAUUGCCUGCCCAGUGACAACUGUUUAACGGCCGCGGUAUCCUGACCGUGCAAAGGUAGCAUAAUCAUUUGUUCUCUAAAUAAGGACUUGUAUGAAUGGCCGCACGAGGGUUUUACUGUCUCUUACUUCCAAUCAGUGAAAUUGACCUUCCCGUGAAGAGGCGGGAAUGCACAAAUAAGACGAGAAGACCCUAUGGAGCUUUAACUAACCAACCCAAAGAGAAUAGAUUUAACCAUUAAGGAAUAACAACAAUCUCCAUGAGUUGGUAGUUUCGGUUGGGGUGACCUCGGAGAAUAAAAAAUCCUCCGAGCGAUUUUAAAGACUAGACCCACAAGUCAAAUCACUCUAUCGCUCAUUGAUCCAAAAACUUGAUCAACGGAACAAGUUACCCUAGGGAUAACAGCGCAAUCCUAUUCAAGAGUCCAUAUCGACAAUAGGGUUUACGACCUCGAUGUUGGAUCAGGACAUCCUGAUGGUGCAACCGCUAUCAAAGGUUCGUUUGUUCAACGAUUAAAGUCCUACGUGAUCUGAGUUCAGACCGGA